UACGGGGGGGGCAAGCGUUGUUCGGAAUUACUGGGCGUAAAGGGCUCGUAGGCGGCCAACUAAGUCAGACGUGAAAUCCCUCGGCUUAACCGGGGAACUGCGUCUGAUACUGGAUGGCUUGAGUUUGGGAGAGGGAUGCGGAAUUCCAGGUGUAGCGGUGAAAUGCGUAGAUAUCUGGAGGAACACCGGUGGCGAAGGCGGCAUCCUGGACCGACACUGACGCUGAUGAGCGAAAGCCAGGGGAGCAAACGGG
rnacentral:rRNA from 1 species